UACAGUGGUGAACUGAGAUCUCGCGUAGGGCCAGUUAGGCCAGAAACGCCACUGCCUGUGGAACCCAGGUUCGUUACUUGACCGUAAACACUUAAUUACAGGUAAGCUACGUCAGUGUAUACAUUGAAUUGGAUAGAACUGUGUUGGGAUAAUCGUUUUUUUCCGGUAACAACACUGUUUCCCGUAUUAUUUCAUUCAACAUUAACCAGCAAUACCGUACCCUCUUAGCUCGCUGACUGGUACCAGUGCCAGCACCCUAAAGUUGCUCGCUAGUCCAAGCGAAAGGAUAAAUUGAACUUCACCAUACGUUACCGUAGUUAACUCAAGUCUGACGUUGUAAUCGGUUAUAAACAAUAGUUUGGGGUGAAACAGUUAACCUGCGUUAUUUUUCUGAAACAUACAGUACAGCUAAUGUCACAAACGUUGGCUGGCUAAUGUGUUUAGUUAGUACUGUACAGCCACACUAGAUCGCUGAUUAGAAGCUGGCAAUUAAUCUAAAAACGUGUUUUCUAUAAAUUAACAAUGAAUACACUAAAUUAACUGGAGAUUCAGAUGGUGGAGUUUUUCAAUUGGGGGCGUGGGCAACACGUCGAUUCCUCUAUAAACGGUGUCGUCAUAAUAGCCUAUUGACAGAACCGUAUGAUCGUGGUCACAUUUCAUUAUGCAUUCAUUUUUGGUAUGAGACACGGACAGCUUGGACACAUAAGUAACUUGUAAUGUUUUCUGUGUGGGUUUUCAGCCAAUAUUCACUCCCAAGACCAAUGGGAUUAUGAGUAUGGACUCCCAAGACCAAUAGGAUGAUGAGUAUGGACUCCCAAGACCAAUGGGAUGGUGAGUAUGGACUCCAGGGUCAAUUGGCCUAAGCUUGAUCCUGCCGGGAUACAUUUCCCCUGGAGUCCCGCAGAGGUAGGUUAAAUGUGUUCUUCCAACCGAUCUGUACAGUAUUGGGGGAGGACAUUGUGUAAAAUGUUAUGUUACUACGUGCCAUUGUUCCCUCCAAGUUUUACAGCUUUCCCAGACAGGUGUUUGGCCUAGUAAGUGGUACCUAGGGAAAUUCUAGGGUCACCUCCGUGCCCAUGGGAUGACCUUGAACUAGGUCAGUUUAGAGGUUGGAGAGCCACACUGGUCUGGACCACCACCCUGGAUCUAGUUUCAGACGUUGUCAAACCAUCCGUUGACAGUCGCUGAAUCAUCAGACUUGCAGAUGAGUGGUGUCAGGAACAGAGGGCAAAGGAGAAGCAGUAGGGAUGAGUCGAUGUAAUGAGUAAUCCGAGGCCUGUCAACACCAUUGUAUGGUGGGGACAUCAGCCCUUGAACUGCAUCUCAGGACUACCUGGCUGAACUACUCCUAGUUGUCCAAAGUCCACCUGACAACUGCUGCUGUCACUGCCCACAGCCCACCUGAUCGUCUCUCAUCUGGAUUCUGCAUAGAUUCUGCCAGAAGAGGACUGGCCACCCCUCAGAGCCUGGCUCCUCUCUAGGUUUCUUCCUAAGAUACAAGACUACCAGGGAGUUUUUCCUAGCCACUGUUACUUGCUCUUUGGGGUUUUAGGAUGGAUACCUGCAUAAGCACUUUGUGACAUAUACUAAUGUCUGGGGCUUCAUAAAAUCGAUUUGAGUAAAUAAAUGCAAACAAACGGCUC